UACAGCAAAUGUAACGCAGUGAAUAUUUGGCUGUGGGCGUUUCAUCCUUUUAACUGCUCCCAGAAUUCUGAGCAAGAGGAAGGGUCAGAUGGUGAUGGAGUGUAAGAAUCCAGAAAUACCAUUUUAAAACCUGCAUGGUCUUUUCCCAAGAUGAAACUGUGACAGCCAUCAAAUCAGGUGGGAAACAGAAGGAAGAGAAGUACUAAGAAAAAAGAAGACAAACUCUCCUACUAAUACAGUGUUUAACUAAGGAUGGAGGCAUGUGGCUGUAAUGAAACCUGGGCCCUCAAAAUUACAUUCCUUACAGCACACAUAUUAGCCUGUCAGUCUUCUGAGUUCAGCAAUAUCUAUAUUUCUUUUUCCCAAAUUGUGAACCUGAAAGCCAAGAAAUGACUAGGUGAUGCUGGGCAGACCCUAAUAACUAGUCUUUUGAGCAAUCUGGGGUUGGUUUGCCACUGCUGGCUCAGCUCAGUACCAGACUUGAAAUGUAUGGUACCACACAGAGUCCUGCCAACACUACCCUGAUGGACAACGCCCAGCUUGAAUGUGUCCUAGUGAGAUUUUGGAAGGCUUCAGUGUGUUUUCAGCCCCGGAAGUCACGAAAGCUUUACCAAAUUAGUUCUGCCUACUUGAAGGUUCAUGUAGAUUCCAGUGACAGAGGGCUGGGUAAUUGGUCGUAAGUUUGGUUCCCCGGAGCCUCCCCACCACCAAAAUCAAAUUCGACUGACAGGAUCCAAACAAAUUCGAAAGGACACAGCAACACAACAAUGUCACAUUUUGAAACAUCUUUGGGGAAAAAUAAAAAGCAAUUUGAGCCUCUGUUU